UACAGAGGUCUCAAGCGUUGUUCGGAUUCAUUGGGCGUAAAGGGUGCGUAGGUGGCGCUGUAAGUCAGGUGUGAAAUUUCGGAGCUUAACUCCGAAACUGCAUUUGAUACUGCGGUGCUCGAGGACUGGAGAGGAGACUGGAAUUUACGGUGUAGCAGUGAAAUGCGUAGAGAUCGUAAGGAAGACCAGUGGCGAAGGCGGGACUCUGGACAGUUCCUGACACUGAGGCACGAAGGCCAGGGGAGCAAACGGG
rnacentral:rRNA from 1 species